CAUGAGGAAUAAUGAGGGCCACAGAUAUAGGAUUCCCCGUGGAUUCAACAUUGCAUGGCAUAUAUAUCACUAAGCAUGUAAAAGAUUUGGUAGACGCUCAGCCUCCUUAAGCCUAGGCUAAUAUAUAUGAGAACUAUAAAUUGGCUUUUCUACUGGAUUAACCAUUUCCCUAGGAUUGGUAUCCACUUCCUGUACAGCAUCCGUGAAACAAAUUGAUUUUUCUUGGCUUGUCACCCACGUGAAUUAUUGUGCAAAAAAAUUGAUCACUUAAACAACACAUCAUAUUUUUCCAUAUUGUCGACUAUUUGAUUCGUUCCAAGAUUUAACAACAGUUGUUAGUUAUUUUAUUAGGCAUGCAUCCACAUAGAGGCAUCUUAAUGAUUUCAAAUUAUCACAGAAGAGUUGGUCAAGACUAGGCAUAUCAUUUUCUAUAUUCGGGGUUCUGGAUAAAAAAAUAUAUUGGAACAUGCAAAUUAGAAAGGAUGUUGAUGUCAUAGCUGACAUCAGCACAUCUGAAUGGUACAGGCAGGCUGUGGCAGCCUACCACUGUCCACCACGCAGCCACUAGGAAGCACAUGACACUACUCCAAUAAAAUAUAACCGUGACCAUCAUUUUGUAUUUACCAUGCCACGAUUUUUGCAGCUACUACAGCC
rnacentral:lncRNA from 1 species